GUUUUCCUUAUCUUUAUCAUCCU
rnacentral:snRNA from 1 species